rnacentral:misc_RNA from 1 species
UACCACACUCUGUUGUCCGAUCACUUGUCACUCGGGAUCCAAUAGCGAGCGUGCCACGUCCCGUUGAUUGUCCUUCCAGUCGCGUAGAUAGUACGCGUCCAGCAGUGGAAUCGGGUCGAAGAAAAUCUCCAGAAAGGAACGCUCCUGGUACCGGGUUGAAAGUAUUAAUUGCACCAUCUCGCCAGACUUAUUGCCUCUUCUCGAAUUCUCAGAUUUCGAUAUGGCCAGUGCACGCUUCUGGCUGGUGGUAUGGUGUGUUGCGAGAUUUGUGGUCGGUAUUGUGGGUCACCAUGGUGAUCGUGAAGAAUGGGUGGUCAGGAUCGAAGGUGGACCUCACGUUGCAUCUCUUCUGGCUUUGCAGGCUGGGUACAAGCAUCUGGGACCGGUUCUGGGGUUCAAAGACACGUACGUAUGGCUCAAGGAUCACAGUCACGAUCACAAGAAGAGAAGUGGACUCCGUUCAACGAAAGCGUUAAAUUCGAGCGUCAAGAUCAUUUGGGCAGAUCAACAGAAGGUGAUCGAGCGAUACAAACGCGAUUACGUACCGUUAUUUAGCUACGAUUCGGAGAAACCUUUGAUAAGAGAGAAGAGAUUGGAACUAGAUCAGUAUCGCUUGAAUAGCGUGGAAGAAAAUGAUGGAAACUCGCUACAGUUUGGGUCGGACGAUUCUAAAUUUAUGUUCAACGAUGAACUAUGGGAACAGGAAUGGUAUCUGCAAGACACCAGGUCGAACAAGGAUUUACCCAAGCUGGAUCUGAACGUGCUACCCCUUUAUCGACUGGGGAUAACAGGUCGUGGAGUCAGAAUCGCUGUUCUAGACGAUGGAUUGGAAUAUACCCACGACGACCUACGUAACAAUUACGAUCCAUCCAUCAGUUACGACGUGAACGAGGGUGACGAUGACCCAUUGCCACGAUACGAAUUAUCAGGGACAAAUGGACACGGCACUAGGUGUGCAGGGGAGAUAGCGAUGGAGGCAAACAACGGGAAAUGCGGGGUAGGUGUCGCCUUCGAAGCUUCCGUCGGUGGAAUCAAGCUGCUCGACGGUUUGGUAAACGAUCGCGUCGAGGGAGAGGCACUCGGAUACAAACCGGAACUGGUGGACAUUUACACGGCCUCCUGGGGACCCGCCGACGAUGGAAGAAGUUUAGAGGCGCCCGGUAGACUCGCCACCGAGGCUCUCGAAAGGGGUGUCACAAUGGGCAGAGACGGCAAGGGGAGCAUUUACGUGUGGGCUUCCGGAAACGGUGGCUCAAAAUCCGACGACUGCGGAUGCGAUGGCUACGUGGGAAGCGUUUACACGAUCGCCGUUGGAUCCGCCAGUCAAACUGGAAGAUUUCCCUGGUACGGUGAAAGCUGUCCCGCUACGUUAGCGACAACGUACAGUAGCGGGGCUUAUCACGAUCAGAUGAUAGCGACAACAGACUUGAGAAACACCUGCACGACCAAGCACACCGGCACUUCUGCGUCCGCUCCAUUAGCUGCUGGAAUACUGGCCCUAGCUUUGCAAGUUAACAAGGAUCUGACGUGGAGGGACGUGCAACAUCUCAUCGUUUGGACAUCAGAAUACAGUCCUCUUAGGGAGAAUCCUGGAUGGUUCAGAAACUCUGCCGGAUUUUGGUUCAACUCACGUUUCGGCUUCGGACUUAUGAACGCGUACACGUUGGUCACGGCAAGUUCCAAUUGGACAACUGUGCCGCAGAAAAUCAUCUGCAAAGUGGACAUUUCUGGGGUUUCUUUGAUUCAGAGUCGACAAGAGGUUGGCUUACGGAGAUACGAGGAGGCUGCGAUUCGAGACAGAAGACGAGUGUCGAUCGACUGGGAACGAGAUAACGUUUUUAGAACACGUAGAAAUCGAGGUCAACCUCGAGUACAGUCUUCGCGGUGCUCUUCAGAUGCACCUGACUGCACCCUCAGGAACACAGGUGCAAAUAUUGAAACCCAGAACACUGGACAGCUCGGAUGCCGGUUUUAAGGGAUGGAAAUUCAUGUCGGUGGCAUCGUGGGGCGAGGAUCCGCGCGGUGUUUGGACUCUAGAUAUUCUGGACCAGAUCGGUCCAAAAGAGAAUAAUGGCACAAUAGAAGCGUUUGCGUUGAUUCUACACGGGACAAGGGAACCUCCAGAGUAUCGUAGAAACGGGC